UACGAAGGGGGCUAGCGUUGCUCGGAAUGACUGGGCGUAAAGGGCGCGUAGGCGGUUUGUACAGUCAGAUGUGAAAUUCCUGGGCUUAACCUGGGGGCUGCAUUUGAUACGUGCAGACUUGAGUGAGGAAGAGGUGUUGGAAUUGACCAGUUCGUAGAGGUGAAAUUGUGAGAAUUGUUGGAAGAACAUCCGGGAUGGACGCA
rnacentral:rRNA from 1 species